rnacentral:tRNA from 1 species
GCGGGCGUGGCUUAGUGGUAUAGCGUCUCCUUGCCAAGGAGAAGGUCACGAGUUCGAAUCUCGUCGCCCGCU